rnacentral:rRNA from 1 species
AUACAUGCAAGUCGAGCGAAUGGAUUAAGAGCUUGCUCUUAUGAAGUUAGCGGCGGACGGGUGAGUCACACGUGGGUAACCUGCCCAUAAGACUGGGAUAACUCCGGGAAAGCGGGGCUAAUACCGGAUAACAUUUUGAACUGCGUGGUUCGAAAUUGAGAGGCGGCUUCGGCUGUCACUUAUGGAUGGACCCGCGUCGCAUUAGCUAUUUGGUGAGAUGGCGUCUCACCAAGGCAACUAUGCAUAGCCGAUCUGAGAGGGAGAUCGGCCACACUGGGACUGACACACGGCCCAGACUCAUACGGGAGGCAGCAGUAGGGACUCUUCCGCAAUGGGCGAGAGUCUGACGGAGCAACGCCGCGUGAGAGAUGAAGGUUUUCGGGUCAUAAAACUCUGUUGAUAGGGAAGAACGAGUGCUAGUUGAAUAAGCUGGCACCUUGACGGCACCUAACCAGAAAGCCACGGCUAACUACGUGCCAGCAGCCGCGAUAAUACGUAGGUGACAAGCGUUAUCCGAAAUUAUUGGGCGAAAAGCGCGCGCAGGUGUUUUCUUAAGUCUGAUGUGAAACCCCACGCCUCAACCGAGGAGGGUCAUUGAAAACUGGGAGACUUGAGUGCAGAAGAGGAAAGUGUAAUUCCAUGUGUAGCGGUGAAAUGCGAAGAGAUAUGGAGGAACACCAGUGGCGAAGGCGACUUUCUGGUCUGUAACUGACACUGAGGCGCGAAAGCGUGGGGAGCAAACAGGAUUAGAUACC